CGACGGGAGCAGGCGCUCGCUGGCGGUCCUUCGGGGCCGCGAGAGGAAAGUCCGAGCUCCACAGGGCAAGAUGCUGGGUAACGCCCAGUGGGGGUGACCCCGAGGAAAGUGCCACAGAAAGGAAACCGCCCCGCCUGUAUUUCGGCCC
rnacentral:RNase_P_RNA from 1 species